GAUGCUGCUGCGGAAGUGCCUUUACGCCGGGAUUAGGUGCCUUGAUUCUAAGUCCUGAAUGGGGGCGCAAAACAAAAGGUGAGUGGACCAAGUUCAUAUAUAUAUAUAUAUAUAUAAUAAAACAAUUAUCAACAUACUAACCCCCAAAGUUUAAUAGUGAAAACUACUAGCAUAGUAAGUGAUGGAUUUAAUAAAAAUCCUAGCAUGCCAAAUAUAUCUCAAAAGUCACAUCGCGAAAACGCAUCGCGGAAAUCAAAACAGUAAACGCAUCAUAAAUCGUCUCGUAAACGCAAUGUGCCGCUAGAAAGAUCACUGAAUAAAUAUAACUCCCGGCCCAAUGCCUGCACCUCAGUCUCUGUGCCCGUAGCCAGAGAUAACUCCCUCCCGGCCCAAUGCCUGUCUCCGUGUCCCUCAGCCUUUCGCUAGGGAUUAUUUCUCCCGGCUCACAUGCCAACACCAGAUCCUCGCCCCAGGCGGCAUAGUGUCUACUAGUUACGCACAAAAUGUUACGCCUCUCGUAAAUACCACUUCAUAGUGUAGGUUACCGAUCAUCGUCUACACUAUAAAGAGGGGUUCAAAAACAUGUUCUAGCAUCCUAUCGUCAUCUAUCAGAUAGUCUACCAGUUCAUGGUUUUUAUAGAAAAUACGAUAUAUUAAAAUAUAGCUCAAUAUAGACUAACAAUUAAUUCCUCACCAAAACACGAGACGAUAAUCAAUAUAUUAAAUCAUCAGGCUUCACAUAAAUCCAAUCGUAAAUUCGUAGGCAUGCUAAUCAUUUAUGAAAUUGAAUUAUUAAAUCAUGUAAUUUUAGAAGGGGUCCACUCACAAAUAUUCCUUAGCAGCAGAGUCGCACGAAUUAGGAUUACAAAUUUCCUUAAUAGCAAUUUUACCUAAGCACAAAAAUAUAAUUAAUAAAUAAAAGGAUUUUCUAAAAUAUUGGGUUGAAUUAAAUAAAAUAGGGAAUUUGGGAUUGGAUGGGUUUAGGAUUUUAAAGGAUUUUAGGAACCUAGGCCUUAGGAUUUAAAAGGGUAUGGAAAGGGGGUGUGGGCUGAAGCCCAAACAUAUAUACUUUUAACACACACACACACACACAAGGCACAAGGCCCUCGGGCCUCACUAAAGAAAACAGGGCUUUAAGCCCUUAGGACAUAACCGGCCCUAGGCCCUUCAACAUUAAGGCCCGUGGCCUUUUGGGCUUUUAAAAACUAAAACUAAAAAUAAAAACUGAAUGGGUUAGGGUACUGGGCUAAGGCAAACGGGCUGGAGGCCCGCGAAGGAAAUGGGAGAGGCCGGUUGGCCUGUGGCUUGCCGAGGGAGAAGGCCGGAGCUGCUACAGCUCCGGUCACCUGAAAACUGGAGCUUCAAGCUCCGAUCUAGGUACGAACGUGAAGCACAAGGAGAGAGGAAGAGAUUUAUACCUUCCAAACGUCGUAACUCGGUCGGAGGUGACCGGGAAAGUCCUCGGGGUGCACGGGUUCACCGGAAAAGUGGGUGUGCUCACCCACGACCGUUCUGAAGCAAAAACCUACGUAAAAAGGUAAGGUUCAAGCUUCUAAAUCACAACCAAACCAAGAACUAGGUACGAGAGUGAGAGAUUUGAGACUUACCCGAACUGAAACAGGAAGAAGACUCGUCGGAGCUUUGCUCCGAGCCGUCUAUCUCGUCGGACAGGGGUCCCCGGGUUCGUGGGGAGUCUCUCCUGAUGGUGCUAAGGUCAUCGCGAGUCCAGGGGGAGGGAGAGAGAGGAGAGUUCGAGGGAGAGAGGGAUGCGGGAGGUUGAGGGAGAGAGGGUGAGAGAGCUACGGGGAGAGACAGA
rnacentral:lncRNA from 1 species